UCCACUUCCCAAGCAAGUAAACAUGCUUUGACAAGACACGCGCCUUUGAUCGUGGAACAUGGUCAGUUGGUCUCCCCUAGCAGGCUAGCAGCUACCCCACAAGAAGCGGUCCUUACCGCCUUUGAGCCCCAGCCCAUUCCUACAGCGAAAAGGAAACAACUUGGAAGUUAAAAGGCUUCCCACUCUCCAAAGGAUGUCAGGUUCCUUCCUUAUAUAUAGUUUUUCUUGAAAUUGCUCCUCGUCAAAUACCUAAACACAGCAAGAAAAGCAAACUAGAAUCUUCCUCUCUAGCUUUCAAAGGGUCUUCUACUACUUUAGAUUUGGGGCGAUCAAGAUUUUCUUGAAGAGACCAUGAAUUCUAUGUUCAGUUCUUUUGAUGCUUUGUGUGCUGAGUUGUUGGGUCAAAAAGUGAGGUCUUCACUUGCUCUUACAACCAUGGAUUGCAAUACCAAGAGGGUUUUGACUGCUGGUGAUAAUAGUAUGGUGGCAGAAGAUAAGUUGAUCAAGAAUCGAGAGGGAAGCUCCUCGAGAUCGUUGGCUAGGAAACAAGAGAAGAAGGUGCCGAGGUUUGCACCAGAGCUUGAUGGACUCAACUGCUUCGAGACCAUUGUUAACUAUUGAGAUUCGAUGACAUGACGCAAUGAAGUUGUGUUUUUAUUUAUAGGGAUAUGUAGAGAAAGAAAAAGCUAGGAAUUAUUCUUUGAUCGAUCUAUCUGGAGUGAUGAUGGUAAUGUUAAAAUGUAAUUCUAAUAUACUAUUAUAUGAAUAUAUUCUUUUUGUUCAUCUUCUUGAAAUAAUUUCGAGUUUUUAUUAAUUGAUGGAUUAAAUUCUCAAAACCAUACUCAAAGCUAUGGUGUUUCGGGGGGUGCUAGGUAAUCAUGGCAAUGAUGUUAUUCAGCUACUUUUAUCAGAGCCAAGACCCCCUGUAUAUUUCAGCUCUAAUCUCCCUGUCUAGGCUUAAGGUUCUCCUAUGGUCAACAACUUGAAAUAAUUUUGAGUUUUUAUUAAUUGAUGGAUUAAAUUCCCAAAACCAUACUCAAAGCUAUGGUCUUGCGGGGGUGCUAGGAAAUCAUGACAAUCAUGUUAUUCAGCUGCUUUUAUCAGAGCCAAGAUCCCCUGUAUAUUUCAGCUCUAAUCUCCCUGUCUCCGUAGUUUAAACCCUCAUUAAGAGAAUAAUUAUUAGUAGUUGACUUAGCAUGGUGGUCAAUCUAAAUUCAGAUUAACAACUUAAUCCUAGGCUUAGGGAUCUCCUCUGGUCAACUUGCUAGCUAUUCUCCAUUAUAUCAGAUUUGGCAAAUUAGCAUCAUUUCCUAAUUAUUUAUGAUGCUAUAAACAAGAAUCAGGAUUACACUGUUAGCCUCCAGUGCUUUUAUGUCUGGUGAAUACAUGGCGAUGCACAGCUGGUGCCAAAACCACAGAGAGAUCAUCCCAAUUUAGGCCAAGUGGAUGGUUAGCCCAUGUAUACCUGUGUUUUUCUUUUUUGCUUUGAUAUCAAUCCACACAGUAACUUCAGCUAUGGCAUGACAAAUCAACAUAAUGCAUAGUUCAAUUCAAACUUUGAUUUUUUCUUAAAAAAUAAUCCUAAGAUAAUGUUUUAAUAAAAAAAAGAGAGUUUUUUCACUCACUUGACUUGAGGCUAGCCCUAGUUUGGUGGAUCAACGAGUCUUAUAACAGUGACAUAAUAUCUUCCUUAGAAGGGUAAAUCAACAUAACUCAACAAGAAUAUCUAGGAUAUACUCUUCUUCUUUUUGUGACACAAUGUCGUCUGCUUUCAAAGGAUUUGGAAAAGAAAAGGAGUUGGAGAAUUUCAAAGAAGACAGAUCAACCUACUAGCAAGAAGAACGAGAAUAAUGGUGAUAACAAGCCAUCAACAAUGUCAAGGGCCAAUAAUAAUAAAGAGCAGCGUGUGCCACCAGCUCUUGCACCCUUCAUGGAUGGACUAUCCAUCUUUGAAACGACGGCUCCUUGAAUGAUUUCUAUUAGAGUGGCUUGAACAUUGGUUUAGUCUCACUAAUUGUUUUUGUUUUUUCCUUUCGAUGUGGAAUUUUCAAAAUUUUCAAAUUGUGUAAUUUUCAAAUUUGGGAUUGAAGCUAUGUAUAAUAAUUUUUCUUUACUGAUCAUGGUUUGUAGAUUGUCUUUUUACCCUGUUUCUCGUGAUCAUACUUAUUAAACUUUGGCUGACUCGACUGGUCAAUCUAUAGAGUUGAUGACAAGGAACCUAAUUUGGGUGGGUUUUGAUUUAAAUCAUUUUGAAUAUUGACCUGAUUAGAUCUGAUUGACCUAAAUAAUUGAUUCACGAUCCAAUUGGCCCAGUUAAAUUUGAAUGAGACCCAGUCAAGUCAACUUCAAAGAAUAUUUUUAUUAAAAAAUUAAAACGUUGGUAUUUUAGAGAAAAAUGAUGUACCUAAUUAGUCAGGUGAUCCAUAUGUUAACCCAAUAAUUUAGUGAUUCAAGUUAUAAAUCAUGUCAGAUCUUAAACUAGUUCUGAAAACUAUGCGCCUCGAUAGGUAGGCCUUGUUACUGUUAUCAUGUACCUCCUAAAGUCUCAAAAUUUUAAUUGAUGGUCAAGAAAAGGGUUCAAAAUCCUAUUACAAAAAAUAUUAAAAGAAUUUAGCCUUUCACUGUGCACACACUCAUAAUUUAUUAUGAAUUUUUAAAGCAAAAUUAUCAUUUUACCCUUGGUGGUUUAAGUUUUAUAGUUUGCUUGCAAGGGUAGCAUUGUAUUUUUAAUGGGAUACAUUUGCUAUUACAAGAUUCAAUGGGGGUAAAUGAGUCUUUUACUAUUAGAUUUGCAUAGUGUAAUAUCUAAAAUACCCUCAAAAGUUGAAUCCCCUUAACAAUAAGACUAGGGGUGUUUUUUUUAUUUUUCAUUCUUUUUUGCACACUAUAGUCACUAACAUACCCUUAGAGUCAAAUAAUCGAUAGCUAAGCUUUAGAUAUUUUUUGGUCUUUUAUCAUGUUUUUUUAUUAAUAUUGUGCGGGUAAAGGAAAAUUUGGUAUUUGCAUAAAUAAAAUUAAAAAGAAAAAGAAAAUUUGCUGGCGCAUGUCUCAGACGUGCCUACAAGUUGGAGGCGUCUGCGCCUUUUGGGUAGUGCAUGCGACGCCUCCCAGUGGCUGAACAUCACAUUACGAGACGACUUUCAAUGCAUUUGCCACCCCCAUCACGGUGGACAGGCGCAUGUCUCUGCCUAACGCACGGUGGAGCUUUGACAAUAUUUUUUCUUUCCCCCCUCUUUUCUCUCUCUUCAACCUAGAAAAACAUGCAGCCCUUGCAGAAAAUUAGAAAAAGGGUGUGUGAUUUGUUAAGUUAAUCAUAUUUAGUCAUUUGUUUAUUUGUAUCAAGUUUUCUUUAUUUUUUUUCAAUUUGAUCAUAUCAUUUGAUUUUUCUAUUGAAUUUGUCCUCUUAUUUUAUGUUGUUUUAGCUUUGACCUUCGAUGUUUUGAUUUUUAAUUUUGAUUCUUGAUUUUUUUAUUAAAUUUUAAUUUCUUUUUAAUUUCAUCAUUGGAUCCAUGAUUUUAUUUUUUUAUUUUUUUCAUGUUUGGUCCUCAUUCUCUUGAAUUUUAUUUUUGUUUUGGAUUCUCUUGUGAAUUUGAUUUUUCUUUUCAAUUUUGCCCUUCAAUUCAAUAUUUGAUGAUAUUUAUCAUUCAACCCUCAAUGGUUUGAUUUCUAAUUUUAAUUCUUAGACUUUUAUCAAAUUUUAAUUUGUUUUCAAUUUCAACCUUAGAUCCAUAAUCUUGAGUUUUUUAUUUUAUAUAAAUUUAAUCUUUAUUCUCUUGAUUUUUUAUUUAUUUUAGAUUCAUUUGUUAAUUUGAUUUUUUUUUAAUUUUUCCUUUCAAUUCAAAAUUUGUGUUUAUCCUCUUAAUUUCUUUUUCAAAUGAGGUUCUUAUUCUCAUAAUUGUUUCUAGACCCUUCCCUGGAGUCAAUCCAUGACAAUUAUCGGGUCAUUAUUGGGUCAUAAAUCGAGUGGGUUAACUCGAGUUAAUUCAAGUCAAUCAAAUCUUUUUGUUUUAUAAGAAAGUCAAAAUGAUAUUAUUUUAAAAAAAAUUAAAAUAGUCAACAGGUUGUGACUGAAUUUUCUCAUGGUUAACUGAAGCAUGGGUCAACCCGAGUUUUGACCAUCUUAUACUACAUCAAUUCUCCUCUAUUUGUUUUAAAACUCAGGUCGGUCUAAGUCAAGAGUCAUUUAAAUCAUGAGUCAAGUUUUAAAAUAAUUGUUUUUGUUUUCAAUUUAGUGGAGCAAACUCACUUAGAGCUUGCUCUCUUUUUAUCCAAGGCUCGUCUCAUUGCUUAUAAUUUGAUAACAAGCACGCACUAGUUUGAAUCUUGUACAAUUUUAUUUAAUUGUUAAAAACUAAUUUAUAUACAAAAACAGAGUAACCAAGUAUGGAAAGUCUGUAAAUAAAAUAAAUACAAAACCAAUCCUUGAUUCUAGCUUGCGGUAAUCUUGGCAUAUCAACUGUCAUUAGUAGAAAUCUUUGAUUCUAGCUUGCGAUAAUCUUGGCAUAUCAGCUGCCAUUAGUUGAAAUCGUCCGUUAUAUGAGUUGGCAUAUGAUGACAGUUCAUUCUUCCUUUAUACAACUCUACCUAAAUUGGUUUGCUAGUUCAAUUAGCCAAUUGGCUCGUCUCAUGAGGGACAAUUUGCUAGGUUGUUCUUAAAAUUUCUGUCUGUACUCCAUUAAAAAAUUCAAGCAGGCCCAAAGGGUAUACAUGUAAAAAAAACUCCAAGUCCUGCCAAAAAUAAAUAAAUAAAUAAAUAUGGGAUAAGAUGGGAAUUUGAACACAGCAAGGUGCUAAGGUCAUUAAGCACGUUGCAAGAAAGAUAUAAUCAAUUUUAAUGGUUGAAAAUUCAAUUUAAACAAUUGAAAUCCAGUGAAGUUGCGUCAUUCACUUAUCCUUUAAAUGAUAUAAAAAUCCUUAAAAUAAACAAAGAAUACACCCUGGAAACACUUACGUGAUUCAUGGUAUUUAUUAAAAGUAUUUUUUUAAUUAAAAAUAUAUUAAAAUAUUAUUGGAAGCCGAGUUGAUCUCAUUCUCAAGUCUCUAAUCCUCGACUGAUAAAAGGACUUUCCGCCAGAAGGGAGGUGAAAUGCUUUCUUCAAGUGCCAAACGCAGAUAUCCACCAACAGAAUUAGUGGCAUAAUCACGGGCACAUUUUCAUCUUUUUAUAUGUUCUAAGUCAAAAGAAGAUUCGAGAAUUGAGAUCGAGACCAUGUCUUAGCUAAGCAUAUCCAUUUCCCGAGCAGGUAAACAUACUUUGACAAGGCACAUGCCUUUGAUCUCUGAACAUGAUCACAUGGUCAGUUGUUGUCCUCUAGCAUCCCCCGACAUGAACUUACCUGGAUAGGUUUGGGUUUUUUUUCUUUAUGAAUAUUUUAUUUGAUUGGUAAUGAAAAGAGUACCAAUAUUUUUAAAUUCGUCUUGCAACAUGAUAUUUAUAUAUAUAUUUUUUAAUUCUAUUUAUAUAUAAACACACUCAAAAUAUAUAGGGCGUGAGAUUCAUUGUACCAUAAGAGAGAAUUUAUUAUGAAUUGUAAUAAUAAAAUGAUAUUUUUAUCCUUCCUUAAAUUAUAUCAGAAAACUGAGUUUAGAGGUAAAAUAAUCUUUUUUCAUGUAAUUGUUUUUGAAUAGUGAAAUAUUUUGUUGCUGGGAGCUUUUUUGAGAUUUCAUGUUUUCUCGCACAAUUUAAUUACUGCUUAUCCUUUAUGUCAAAAUUACUUGAGCCUUGCUUUGUGGGCAUUUGCGCAUUUCUUUAUUCAUAGCACAGUAAAACAUGAAAUUGACCUUCACCUUAUAAUUUAUUUAGGCUUGAUUUAAGGGCAACUUCGUGUUUUCAUGUGGGUUUUUUUAGUUAUAAGGAAGUUAUUUGAGGAGUGGAUUUGUCUUUUAAAGUGAUUAAAAUCUUUUAAGAAAAUACAAGUUGUCAAGCGAAUGGGAUAGGCCGUCGUGCUUCGGUGGCGCGGGCUUGUUUUUAAUUUUAUCUUUUAAUUAAAAAUUUUAAUCUGUUAAUUUUUUUAGAUUUGAUCUUUAUUUUUUGGUGGUUUUUCUUUUAAAUUAUUUUAUAGAAUUUAUUUUUCUUUUCAAUUUAUCGAUUUAAUCCAAAAUUAUUCACCCUCUCAAUGUUUUUCUUUCAAAUUUUAUCUUAUUUCUUUUAAUUUCUAUUUUUUCUUUUGAUUUUUUUUGUUAUUGUUUUUUUUUUCAAUUUUACUCUUUAACAAUUGAUUUUUUUUAUAAAAAAAAUUGCAGUUUUCUGGAUUUGAUGCCUCCAAUCAAAUGGCUCAGGUCAUAGGUUUUAUAAGCUGGCAUGGUUCCAUAUUUUUUAAGACUUUUUUUUCUUUUUUGAUCUCAUUACUUGAUGUUGGUUUUCUAAAAAAAAUAGGUUUUAUGGUUUUCUUUGUUUUUUUUAUAGAGUUAUUCUAAUCUCAUUACAUAUCGUAAGUUUGACAGGUUAAUUUAGAUGGUUUGUGCCUUUUUUUUUGCCUUUUACUAACUAAUUUUUCUCUUUUAGAUCCUUUUGUGUUAUUGAUUAUUUAAUUUAUUGAGAAUUGAUCUUUGUGGUUUUUUUAUAUAUUUGGUGCUUCUGAUCAAAUUCCCACAACAUGGGUUUUUAAGCUAACAAGGGUUGAUAUCGGGUUUUUUUUUUUUUUUUGCUUAUUUUUUUCCUAUAUCAUAAUUCAACACUGGUUUUUUAAAACUUUAGGUUUCGUGUUUUUUUGUGUGUGUUGUUGUAAUGUUAUCGUCAUCUCAUGAUCUAAUUCGUGAGUUUGACGAGUUGACCUAACUGACUCAAUAUUAUUAUAAUAUUCAACUUAUUUAAAUUAAUGAUCCAGAUUCUAAAUUAAGCUUAUUCAACUUAUUCAAAUUAAUGACCAAAUUCUAAAUUUCUCUUGCUCUUUAAAAAUAUUAUCAUCAUCUGAAAACUUUUUAUAUAUUAAAAUCUUUGUAACCCGGCAUGCAGCGCAGCACGGGUCACUUAUAUAAUAUAUUAAUAUAUCAUGGCGGUAUACAUGUUAUUGCAUUAGUAUUAAAUAAAAUAUAAAUUCACUAACCUCUACCCAGCAUCACUAGUAAAACAAUAACAAUAAUAUAAUAAACAAAAUAACCCACAACCGUUUAAAGUGGCAAGGUCAAAAGAAAAUUUGAGAAUUGAGAUUGGGACCAAGUCGUAGCCAAGCACCUUCGACGAGACAAUGCCUUCGAUAGUUGAAAAUGGUCACAUGGUUAGUUGGUCUCCCCUAGCCGCCCCCACAAGCUGGCGUCCACACGCUUUUGAGCCCCAACCCAUUCCUACAGCGAAAAGGAAACAACUUGGAAGUUAAAAGGUUUCCCACUCUCUAAGGAUGCUAAGGUUCUUCCUUAUAUAUAGUUUUUCUUGAAAUUGCUCCUCGUCAAAUACCUAAACACAGCAAGAAAAGCAAACUAGAAUCUUCCUCUCUAGCUUUCAAAGGGUCUUCUACUACUUGAGAUUUGGGGCGAUCAAGAUUUUCUUGAAGAGACCAUGAAUUCUAUGUUCAGUUCUUUUGAUGCUUUGUGUGCUGAGUUAUUGGGUCAAAAAGUGAGGUCUUCACUCGCUCUUACAACCAUGGAUUGCAAUACCAAGAGGGUUUUGACCGCUGGUGAUAAUAGUGAGGUGGGAGAAGAUAAGUUGAUCAAGAAUCGAGAGGGAAGCUCCUCGAGAUCGUUGGCUAGGAAACAAGAGAAGAAGGUGCCAAGGUUUGCACCAGAGCUUGAUGGACUCAACUGCUUCGAGACCAUUGUUAACUAUUGAGAUUCGAUGACAUGACGCAAUGAAGUUGUGUUUUUAUUUAUAGGGAUAUGUAGAGAAAGAAAAAGGUAGGAAUUAUUCUUUGAUUGAUCGAUCUAUCUGAAGUGGUGAUUGUAAUGUUAAAAUGUAAUUCUAAUAUACUAUUGUAUGACUAGAAUAUUCUUUUUGUUCAUCUUCUUGAAAUAAUUUUGAGUUUUUAUUAUUUGAUGGAUUAAAUUCUCAAAACCAUACUCAAAGCUAUGCUCUUGCGGGGGGUGCUAGGUAAUCAUGGCAAUCAUGUUAUUCGGCUACUUUUAUCAGAGCCAAGAUCCCCUGUACAUAGCAGCUCUAAUCUCCC
rnacentral:lncRNA from 1 species